GUGUACAGCCAUACCACCCUGAAUGCAACCAGUCCCGUCUGAUCUUGUCAGCUAAGCAGAGUUGAGCCUCGUCAGUACUUGGAUGGGAGAAAGACACACUUACGCU
rnacentral:rRNA from 1 species